UCAUGGUGACCUUCAAGGCAGCAGUUUCAGAACAGUGAGGUGAAGACCCAGCACAGAGGAAAGGGAGGGUGGUGAAAAUGGGCAGCCAUCGGCAGAGUAUUCAUUUCUGAAGUUUGAUGUGUCACCACAGAACUGUACAGUGGAUGCAUGAACGGAGUGGUCCCUGUGGCAGAGAUGGGGGAUAUGCACAGUGCCAGCAGCAUCCACUCUGACUUUCCAGGGAUGAUCUAGCUGCCGCCAUUGGUGCCGUGUCCAAUUUGUUAGCAAUGAAGACCACAAAGAAGACCAAUGCUGAGCCAUGUCAUGCUGCAAAAAGAUGCCAGGGUUGCUGCUGCAGUGCCCUCAGUCUCCGUGCAUAUGGAAGGUACGCAAGACAGUAAAUUACUUCUUUUCUGCUGAUCUGGAUGGCUGCAUGUGGCUAUAAAUGCUACUUGGUUGAGCGCUUUGUGUACCUUCUCUUAUAAAUCUUGAGGGCUUUUUAAAGCUGAAAUAAAGUCAAUAAAAGUCAAUAAAGGGUUUAAAAUGAAGCAAAAAUUUAAAAUAUGAUGUGUGUAUAAAAUUGGAAAGUUAAUAAAAAGUUUAAAAUAAACAAAUAUUUAA